GGCAGGUUGAAGGUUGGGUAACACUAACUGGAGGACCGAACCGACUAAUGUUGAAAAAUUAGCGGAUGACCUGUGGCUGGGGGUGAAAGGCCAAUCAAACCGGGAGAUAGCUGGUUCUCCCCGAAAGCUAUUUAGGUAGCGCCUCGUGAAUUCAUCUCCGGGGGUAGAGCACUGUUUCGGCUAGGGGGCCAUCCCGGCUUACCAACCCGAUGCAAACUGCGAAUACCGGAGAAUGUUAUCACGGGAGACACACGGCGGGUGCUAACGUCCGUCGUGAAGAGGGAAACAACCCAGACCGCCAGCUAAGGUCCCAAAGUCAUGGUUAAGUGGGAAACGAUGUGGGAAGGCCCAGACAGCCAGGAUGUUGGCUUAGAAGCAGCCAUCAUUUAAAGAAAGCGUAAUAGCUCACUGGUCGAGUCGGCCUGCGCGGAAGAUGUAACGGGGCUAAACCAUGCACCGAAGCUGCGGCAGCGACACUGUGUGUUGUUGGGUAGGGGAGCGUUCUGUAAGCCUGUGAAGGUGUGUCGUGAGGCAUGCUGGAGGUAUCAGAAGUGCGAAUGCUGACAUAAGUAACGAUAAAGCGGGUGAAAAGCCCGCUCGCCGGAAGACCAAGGGUUCCUGUCCAACGUUAAUCGGGGCAGGGUGAGUCGACCCCUAAGGCGAGGCCGAAAGGCGUAGUCGAUGGGAAACGGGUUAAUAUUCCCGUACUUGGUGUUACUGCGAAGGGGGGACGGAGAAGGCUAUGUUGGCCGGGCGACGGUU
rnacentral:rRNA from 1 species